AAUGGGCGCAAGCCUGAUCUAGCCAUGCAGCGUGAGUGAUGAAGGCCUUAGGGUCGUAAAGCUCUUUCGCCAGGGAUGAUAAUGACAGUACCUGGUAAAGAAACCCCGGCUAACUCCGUGCCAGCAGCCGCGGUAAUACGGAGGGGGUUAGCGUUGUUCGGAAUUACUGGGCGUAAAGCGCGCGUAGGCGGAUUGGAAAGUUGGGGGUGAAAUCCCGGGGCUCAACCCCGGAACUGCCUCCAAAACUCCCAGUCUAGAGUUCGAGAGAGGUGAGUGGAACUCCGAGUGUAGAGGUGAAAUUCGUAGAUAUUCGGAAGAACACCAGUGGCGAAGGCGGCUCACUGGCUCGAUACUGACGCUGAGGUGCGAAAGUGUGGGGAGCAAACAGGAUU
rnacentral:rRNA from 1 species